CAGUUCUCUAGACUUUCGAGAACAAAUUUAAUGCAUCCCAAAUUUAGUAAGUAAGUUGCUCCUAAAAUAGGAAGCGAAGUGAAUCUUCGGGAAUGGUUAUCAAUGAAAAAGUCAGUUUUGAACGGUAUGUUGUUGAGAAUGAAUCGUGUAAUGAUUUCUGAAGAUCUGCAACCCCAUGUUCUAAAAGAAUUUAAUUUGACACUUGACAGUGGUAUGUUGUUCAAAACAAAUCGUGUAAUGAUUUGACAAGAUCUGCAAUCCCAUUUUCUGAAAGAAUUCAAUUGGACCUAACUAGGAAUCAUAAAAAUCAAACAAUUGGCCAGAAAAUAUGUUGAAUGGGAGAGACUGAAUAAGAAAAUCGAACUUCAAUUGAAAGUUGCGAAACUUUCAAUGGAGUACGCCAUAAUCUACAGAAAGCAGUACUUCAACUAUAGGAUGAGUCCAGAAAUAACUCGGAUAACGACUACACACCAAUACGCAGAUAAUGCUACGAUUUCCAGAAGUGAUGCUCAUGGACGUAGAAAAAUAAAUGGACUCGGCAAACCAAUACCUUCAACACAGAAUGUUUUGAACCCGCUCGGUUCGUUGGCGAGCGGGUUACGGGGAAGGAGGAAUCUUGCGAUAGACUGUGACAUACCCUCCAACGACAGUGGUGCACGCAAUAAAUUCAAUAUGGGCAAUGUAAACGAAAAUAUGCAAAAUGUUAUAUACUUAUAAAAACUUUAGAGAUCUAUUCAUCAAUUAUUGUUAGAGAUUAUAGAUAUUUCCGAUAUCAAUUACAGGAAAACUUCAUUGUAUUCGAAAUAAAUAUAAUUACUCGAAAAAGUCGGUUCUUUUAAAAAACUGUUGAAAAUUGAUAAAUAAAAAAAGAGGAAGAAGGAACAAUGUUUUGAA